AAGAUAUUAGUAAAACUAUUACAUAUCCUUGUCAAGGCUAAAUCAUGAGUUAUAAUCUCAUAUAUCUUA
rnacentral:tRNA from 1 species